rnacentral:rRNA from 1 species
UACGUAGGGAGCAAGCGUUGUCCGGAAUCAUUGGGCGUAAAGCGCGCGUAGGUGGCCACAUAAGUCCGUUGUGAAAGUCAAAGGCUCAACCUUUGAAAGCCGAUGGAUACUGUGUGGCUAGAGUACGGAAGAGGCGAGUGGAAUUCCUGGUGUAGCGGUGGAAUGCGCAGAUAUCAGGAGGAACACCAAUAGCGAAGGCAGCUCGCUGGGACGUUACUGACACUGAGGCGCGAAAGCCAGGGGAGCAAACGGG